rnacentral:rRNA from 1 species
GUAGUCCACGCCGUAAACGGUGGAUGCUAGGUGUGGGGGUAUCGACCCCCUCCGUGCCGGCGCGAACGCAGGAAGCAUCCCGCCUGGGGAGUACGGCCGCAAGGCUAAAACUCAAAGGAAUUGACGGGGCCCGCACAAGCAGCGGAGCGUGUGGUUUAAUUCGAUGCAACGCGAAGAACCUUACCAGGGCUUGACAUGCAGCUUACAGCCGCCGAAAGGCGGCGUCCGCAAGGAGUGCUGCACAGGUGCUGCAUGGCUGUCGUCAGCUCGUGCCGUGAGGUGUUGGGUUAAG